UAUACCCUGGCAAUAGGCAAAGAGAAACUUUAUUGGUAGUAUUCUUAUAUCAGUCAGGGGACAAAGCAGAUGAUGUUUUGUUCAUCCUAUUUUGAUUCCUGGGUUGGUGGCCAGAGCUAUUUCAUGCUUGGGGCACAUAC